rnacentral:lncRNA from 1 species
GCAACUGUCACCAUGGUUACUUUCAUUUCGGCAUUUAGUAGUUUUAAUAAUAAAUGGUUCAGUUAGAUAAUUAUAUUGAUGUUUGAAUAUUUGUGAAUUGGUUUUAGUGUAUGAUUUACUAUGAUGCAUGAGAUUAGAGUUUUCAGAUCUGUGGUUUUUGGUUCUCGUAUUUAUGGAUUUACUCAUCGUGGUUUUCUAGCCCUCGAGGUAGCUGGUUUUUAAAAUAGAGUUUCCGUGUGGGAAACAAUUUUAAAAAGAUUUUCGAAUGGUUUUCAUGGAUGAUUGAAUUAGAGUUUAAAAACAAAGCUUCUGGGUGGGGA